AGUGAACGCUGGCGGUAGGCCUAACACAUGCAAGUCGAACGGCAGCACAGUAAGAGCUUGCUCUUACGGGUGGCGAGUGGCGGACGGGUGAGGAAUACAUCGGAAUCUACUUUUUCGUGGGGGAUAACGUAGGGAAACUUACGCUAAUACCGCAUACGACCUACGGGGGAAAGCAGGGGAUCUUCGGACCUUGCGCGAGUGAAUGAGCCGAUGUCGGAUUAGCUAGUUGGCGGGGUAAAGGCCCACCCAGGCGACGAUCCGUAGCUGGUCUGAGAGGAUGAUCCGCCACACUGGAACUGAGACACGUCCCAGACUCCUACGGGAGGCAGCAGUGGGGAAUAUUGCGCAAUGGGCGAAAGCCUGAUCCAGCUCUACCGCGUGAGUGAAGAAGGCCUUCUGGUUGUAAAGCCCUUUUGUUGGGAAAGAAAAGCAGCAGGUUUAUACCCCGCUAUUCUGACGGUACCCAAAGAAUAAGCACCGGCUAACUUCGUG
rnacentral:rRNA from 1 species